UAUCAGUAAACGUGAAGAAUCUUGAUUAGAUUGAGAACUACCCUUGGUGUGUUACAGCACACCAGAGUAUCCGAAUCUGUUGAGAGGUAUGCCACUGCUAAUGUGUGACCAGUUUAUGACUCACCUUUCUAAUGUAUUCAAGGUCAUUCUUCUAAUUAUAGUACUCUGACUCACAUUCUGAGGGACUUUCUUCAGUGAAAAAGGUGGAGUUAGAGCAAGGCUGCAAAGAGCAUCAGCUGUUACAUGGGAGAGGACAAAACCAGUGCUCUAGAAAACUUCAAAUCUACCAUCGCUGCCUCUCCUUCAGCAGUGGUCCCUCUGCUGCCACUGGUGUCAGGCUGCUAAUCUACAGCCAGGUUCUCUGUCGUGUCAGCUGGUUGAGAUGUCCUCCCAGAUAUUGCUAGCUUUCCUAAAUAAAAACACUUGCCUGAAAAACUAGUCAGGAAUUUGAUUAAAUGGGGAUAGUCUACCCCUGGUCUUAAAAAUAGUAAAUGUAAUAAAUUCUAAUCUUAGGAGGUGGAAUUCCUGAAAUUUUUCAUUAUUGCAUGUUUUUGACCAAGCAGAUGCUCUGCUGUAAACAGGAUUAGUGGCUCAUCAUUGUUUCUUCUCAGCAGUGUAAUGUCUGCCUGCCACCAGUUUAAUCAGAAAUGUUGUAAGAGCAAGGCAAACAAAUGCCGAGAGAAAUCCUCUGUCUCCCACCCAAUUACCACUUCAUAUCAGUAGGGAUGCAUAAAUUCUCUUCAUUUGUUUGUGUCCCUCUGAGACUGAUUCUGUAAGUCUACCUUGAAGAAGAAAUAAUGUUUUCCUUGUACUUCAAGCUUCCCUGCCACAGAAUCGACAAGUGGACCCCAUGAGCUUUCUGUCGUUCAGCCUCUGAUGUGCUUUCCCUAGAUGCAAGGGAAUCUUUAGAACAGGAGGUACCAGAAACCCAGCCCAAUGUGCUGUCCCCCUAAUGUGCCAUCUUACAAUGCUCUAAAUGUGUAUUUUUCUGUAAAGUAAAUGUUGUGUUUAAAAACAGUUGCCUUCAUGUUGCCCAUUGGGAGGUUUUGUAAAAGAAACAUUAAGAUGUUAAGCAACUUAAGAAUCUUACCCAUUUUCCUAAGAAGAGGGAGAGAAA
rnacentral:lncRNA from 1 species